GCCAGACCUCCUGCAGUAAGAGGGAAAAUUGAAUUGACUUGCAAGAGGCCAGAAUGCCACCCACAGAGGUGCUUGAUUGCCAGAAAAUGCUGAGUUCCUGCUGCUUGGAAUCACUGCUGUCCGAUAUCCGGCAUUGUACUGAAAGGCCGCCCAGGGAGGUGGUGGAGUCACCAUUCCUCGAAGUGUUAAGAACCAUGGAGAUGUAGCACUGAGGGACAUGGUCAGUGGGAGCGGUGGAGGUAAAUUUAAGGGCAUGCAUCUCUGGCUGGACUUUUCUGGAAGGACUUUUCUGCAGCCUUUUGCAUUCUCUAUGUUCAGAGGAUAGAAGCUGUAACCAUUCAGUUCUGCAAUCAGGCUUGGCUCCAGGAUGGAAAACUGAAAGAAAGGAAUGGAAAUGUUUCAGAGAGGAGACAGACAGCUGGUGGAGUUGCAGAUGUAAGUAUGUUUUCCCAUUUUAAUGUCUUAAGCAAUUGUUUUUCAUGAGAGAGAAGACCAGUUAUGAAAAGCAGCAGUUUGUCAGUGCUUUGUCAAGGAACAACAAAGAUUCUGCUGAAGUUGAUAUUAGGCCAACAGGGAUUCUGUGGAGAGUUUCCCUUCAACAAGCAUAGCAUCUCUCAGAGAGUUCACAAGCAGGAGGAAUCAAAAUGUGGGAGACCAGGAGGUCAGGACAGCAUGCUUGAUUGCCUACAUGAAGAGUAACAAGCUUCUCCUCUGGUCCCAUGUGAGCCACCUGGAAACCAUUGAGGAGCACAAGAGCCCCAGUAUCAUCUCAGUGGAUGUUUCAGAGAAACUGUUUGAAUGUCUGUGCUAGAAAGGUACAUGAAUUUAUCCUGCAAUGAAUACAGAAGCAUAGGAGAUGGAGGACAGGACCUUGACCUGAACAGAUCUGAAGAAUGAGAUACAGAAAACAGAAAAAAAAAAUCAACUUUUCAUGAAGAGUUGAAAGAAAGAAAAAAGAAGAAAGUGCACGUCCUUCAAAAAGGAAAUCCUCCAGCAAAUCUGCUAAUGAAGUCCCUGCUCAUUUUGCAUUCUGGAUUUGCCCAAAGAGGUGCUAAAUAUCAGCAGGUAAUGGAGGACGGGAACAAUACUGUUGAGCAACGACAAGCAAGUGAGAUUAAAGCUGAAAAUACUGAUUCUACAAGAACUGCUUGUUCAUGGGAAUGCUGCUGCUACAUGCCAGAAAAUCUAAAGAAGAAAAAUAAUGAAAAGGUGAAGUAAUUUCUUUGAAUUCACAGUAAAUCAGCAGCUAAACCUGUGGAGGGAGGCCCUUCUGUCUUCCAUUUUCAGAUGAGUUCUUCAUUCCUCUGAUCAUUCUAAUAUCUCUGUUAUGUCCCUUGUAAACUCACCUUUACACAGCCUGAGUUGCAGAUGAUGAGACUUAUCACCCAUGUUCUCUGCCACUUUAUCUCCUGAAAAGUGACAUUUUCAUGGCUGAUGAAGUUGAGGCUCAGUGUCAUCCUAUAAUCCACUAAUAAGGCAGACCUUCCUCGAGCUAGCAUUCACAGGUCUUUAUUGCUUUGUCAUUUCUAACUGAUAAAGUCUCAUUUUGCAGCAGAAGCGUGUACUGUUGAUCGCCAUCUGCUUAACUUCUACUUUACUCCCCAAAUCUAUAAUCUCAUUCCUCGAGACUGUGUAAUUUUUACACAGUCAGAUUAGCACAGUGAUUGCUAUCAGUACUGACAGUGCCUCCCACCUUUGUGUCAUCAGCAAAUCUCAGAUGUACUCUUAUUUUGUGCUGAUGGAGUAAAUACAGAUUAAUAAAAACAUAAUACACAUUAUAACUAGGUCAUCAUGAAAACAGUCCUUGGCAAGCUCAGUUUCAACCAUUCCUCUCAUCUGCUAUUUCCCCUUUGAUGCCUCAUCUUUUGCUGUUCUUCAUAUUCCUUUUAUUUUUUGCUAAUUCCCAUGUUCUCCAGCAUGUUAUUUUAAACCAUCGUGUAGGUUCACAUCAAAUGCUCCAUGAAGUUCAGAUACAGAUGAAUUACUGCAUUUCCUUCAUUUGACUGUACCUCUUUCCAUCCAGUUCUUUUGCCUUUUCUUCUAUUUGCCACUUACCUUCAUGUUUUUAAUUAUUCUUUCAGACUCAUGGAUCGAAGUCAGACUAAUAGACCAAGGACAAACACAACUGCGGGGAUUGGCCUCUUCUCCCAGGUAAUUAGAGUCAGAACAAGAAGUAAUGGCUUUAAGCUGAGUCAGCGGAGGUUCAGGUUGGAUACUGGGAAACAUUUCUUCUCAGAAAUGAUAGUGAAGCAUUGGAUCAGGCUGCCCAGGAAGGUGAUGGAGUCACCAUCCCUGCAGGUGUUCAAGAAAAGCUUAAUGUUGCUCUGAGAGACACGAUUUAGUGGUGUGGUGGAGCCUAAAGAACCCAUAAGUUAUCAUUCUGUGUCAUUGCUAUCAAUACUGCUCUCUCUCUGUGCCCUAAAUGCUUCUCACAAGUAAUGACAGAGCAGCAAAAGAAUAAUUUAGUCGAAGAACCUUCUCCAUUAUCUCCAGAAAAUAUGGCACUUUUGGCACAUUUUGGAUCCAUGUUCUUGCAACUGGAGCUUUGAAAUCAAUACUUAGUACCAAGGUAGGACUUUUCUAAGAGUGCACUUGUAAGAACAUUAAGAAAUCAAAGAGUUUGCCCACUGCGAGGUAUUUACAGUAAUAAUUUUUAAUAGAAAAAUAUUUAAUGGUUCAAUUUGAAUUUGUCAUGAAACCCUUCCAUACUGGAUUAGUUGCUACUCUAAUGCAUAGCAUAUCAUGCAGAGCAAAUCUUUAAAGCAAGACAUUUUUGAAUGAUUUCCAGAGAUGUGAAAAUCUCACAAGCUCUUUCCUUCCUUCCACCUGCCCACUUCUGUGCGUUUAUUUUUGGCUGGGUUACAUUCAUUAUGUGUAUUCUUGGUAUUUGUAUUAUUGAAUUGUUUGGAGGCCUUAGGCAUGGCCAGGACCAGGGGCUGCAUGGUACCGUACAGAGCAGAUUAAAAAGUUGCAGUGCAAAAAAGGCAAAAGCUGUACUAUUAGUCAGCUUUCCCAGCUAAAGGCUUCUUCUCUGGCUUCUCAGCGUAGGAGAGUUUCAAAGAGGAACCUGACAGAUAUUUGCUCCUGCUGGGCUGAGCUGUGAUGCUGGAGAUUUCAAGAAGAUACUCCACAGCAGUUGAGUGACUUUCUCAUUGCAAGGCAACGCUGGGAAAAGCAUCCUCUCCAGGUAGGAAGAAAGUGUAAAAAGAAGUCCGGAAAUGAGGCUUAUAUCUGAUGGAUAUGGGGUGCUGGCAGGGUCAUGCCUGGAAAGAAGUGGUGCACCAAAACUGACAAGGUAGGGAAACCUUCCAUCCAGGUUUACAGAGAAUAGCAGAGGGUUCACUCUCAUUUUGAUCUGAUAUAAUGCUUUGAAUCUGGGAAAAUAUAUGGUAUAACUUUUCAUUACAAAAUAUUUAUUUUUUAACAUGUGAGACUAGAUGCAUUUCACAGUUUUAUUUUGCUGUUUCCUGUCUGUCUUUCUUCAACUCUCGUGCCUGUUAAAUGUCAAAAAAAAAAAAAAAACUUAUGCGAAGAGGCCAUGAGGGUGCAGGUCUGCUAAAGAGUCUGAGGGUAAUCAAUAAUGUGGAUUUGAUUUUCAGCCAUGCCAAAUAGCUCUGGUUCCACAUGGCAUUAUCAGCACCAGUAAGCAGUCAGUGUUAUACAUGGAGAUCUUUAAGUGCUCUUGGAUUGUUUCUUGAUUGGUAUCUGUGGGGAAAAAGAAGGUAACUUGACUUGUAAAGUUUCAAGAUUCAACCCACAUUUAUUUAUUGUUUCACAAUUUCCAGACUCCUCAUGGGAGUUACAAACAUAAGCCUGCAUCCUUGGGAGUACCAUGUGCUCCUGCACAUCAGUCUUGGGCUGCUGGAGCUUUAUUGCUGCUUUCACAGCUGUUGUGUUCCCAUACAUAAUUAAUAAGCAAACACUUCAUAAGGUAUUGUGAAUGGAUAAUGUUAUUAUAUUGUCCAUCGCACAUUGAAAUCAAAAUGGACCAAGACAAAUUUUUACUAGUAUCUGAACAUUAUUUCUAAGGAGGAGAUGAAAGUGUUUCACAACAUAUUGAUCUGUACCUGAGCGUAAAUGAUUAAUGUACUGUGGUCCAACUGCAGCUGGAUUUCUUUUGACAACAGCCAUGAAACAAGCUAUAAUCUCAUAUCCAUUGAUAGAUCGAUAUAUAUAGGUAUGUAUUUUUAUAUAUAGAUGCAUUUACCUUUAUCGUGUGAUUGAGUGGCAGACCUUGCAUUAUAAAUCAAGGCUUGGCAAAAGUGGAAGUAUAAACUUGACACAUUUCUGGAUGUAUGUGAUCUAGUAUUUAUUAGUUUUUUCCUCUCAGUGUGAUUCUCUUUCCAA
ensembl:lncRNA